rnacentral:rRNA from 1 species
UACGGAGGGUGCGAGCGUUGUCCGGAAUCACUGGGCGUAAAGCGUGCGCAGGCGGCUGCUCAAGUCAGGGGUGAAAGCCCAGAGCUCAACUCUGGAAUUGCCUUUGAGACUGAGUGGCUUGAGUACGGGAGAGGUGAGUGGAAUUCCCAGUGUAGAGGUGAAAUUCGUAGAUAUUGGGAAGAACACCGGUGGCGAAGGCGGCUCACUGGCCCGUAACUGACGCUCAUGCACGACAGCGUGGGGAUCAAACAGG